UUCCUCUCUCGCGUUGAAAGCAUUUGCAGAUCUGUCCGCUACCUCUCCUCUCCUCCACCAUCCGUCAUCUUCUCCAUCGUCCACCGUCCGGCGUCUUCUCUGUCACCGAUCUUCAUCGUCCACCGUAAAGCAUUACCAGAUGUCGGUGCAAGGGAGUUCCCAGCAAACUCAACCAUCCUAGAUUUGAUGGAAAGUGCCGGUCAAGGAAGCUUUAGAUAGACCUCUUAUGGGUUUCCUGUGAAUUGAUCACCAGAAAAUAGGUCAAUGAAAUUGGUUGUUGUUAGCAAUUAGGCUGUUGAUAACAAGCCUGUAGGCUAUUGUUAGCAUGACCCAAUAGUGUUUUUUCAUGUCUGCAAGUUCACUUUGAAACACACAGAGAUGUUUUAUUGAUGUGAAUACGGAAGACUUGGAUCAUAUAUAUUUAUAUAUGGGAUUUCUAUCUCA